AACUGCUCACACAACACCAGCAUCCUUCGCUGGAGUUCUACAAGUUUCUUUGACCUUGUACUGUAAACUCUCUCCUUUCUCCCUCUGUUCUGGAUCUCGUCUGCUGUGUCAUCUUGUAGUCUCCCACUCUUCACCUCAGCUCAGCUAUCAUACUUUGUAGACUUUUACUUUUUGUAAUUUGGAGUGGCUGUCUGGUUUCUGGUUCUUUUUGUUUCUUGCAAAGGGCUCCUUUGUGUUUCAACACUUGUUUUAUCAUUUGGUAUUUCUUGAUUUGAUAUUAUAAUACACAGUCAUUUGUCUAUCUGCCUCCUCAUUCAUUAAAUUAGGUGAUACUGAGCAGCGGUUAGCAAGCUGAGUCCAUCUGUUACUUCAUAUCUCUCAUCAGUAAAAUCUGCCCCAGCUGCUGGGAAUGCUCUAAUAUGGUUUCCCCCACUCCCGCGGAGUCAGUGAAGUGUAGCUCGCCUAUGAAAGUUAGAGAAUUUAGAAGAAUGCUGAUGAAGGCGAAUCCUAGAGAGUGUCACAAUCAUGCAUGAAAGAGCAAUAAAUAUCAUUAAGACUAACUAUCACAGAA
rnacentral:sRNA from 1 species